rnacentral:rRNA from 1 species
UUUUACGGAGAGUUUGAUCCUGGCUCAGGAUGAACGCUGGCGGCGUGCUUAACACAUGCAAGUCGAACGAUGAAGCCCAGCUUGCUGGGUGGAUUAGUGGCGAACGGGUGAGUAACACGUGAGUAACCUGCCCUUAACUCUGGGAUAAGCCUGGGAAACUGGGUCUAAUACCGGAUAGGAGCGUCCACCGCAUGGUGGGUGUUGGAAAGAUUUAUCGGUUUUGGAUGGACUCGCGGCCUAUCAGCUUGUUGGUGAGGUAAUGGCUCACCAAGGCGACGACGGGUAGCCGGCCUGAGAGGGUGACCGGCCACACUGGGACUGAGACACGGCCCAGACUCCUACGGGAGGCAGCAGUGGGGAAUAUUGCACAAUGGGCGCAAGCCUGAUGCAGCGACGCCGCGUGAGGGAUGACGGCCUUCGGGUUGUAAACCUCUUUCAGUA